rnacentral:rRNA from 1 species
GUAAAAGUCGUAACAAGGUUUCCGUAGGUGAACCUGCGGAAGGAUCAUUAUUGAAAUAAACCUGAUGAGUUGUUGCUGGUUCUCCAGGGAAUAUUGUGCACACUUGUCAUCUUUAUAUCUCCACCUGUGCACCUUUUGUAGACCUGGAUAUCUCUCCAAGUGCUUGCACUUGGGUUUGAGGAUUAUUGUCUUUUCCUUACAUUUCCAGGCCUAUGUUUCUUCAUAUACCCCAAUGUAUGUUAUAGAAUGUAAUAAAAUAUGGCUCUUCGUGGCCAUUAUAAACAAAUACAACUUUCAGCAACGGAUCUCUUGGCUCUCGCAUCGAUGAAGAACGCAGCGAAAUGCGAUAAGUAAUGUGAAUUGCAGAAUUCAGUGAAUCAUCGAAUCUUUGAACGCACCUUGCGCUCCUUGGUAUUCCGAGGAGCAUGCCUGUUUGAGUGUCAUUAAUAUAUCAACCUCUAAAGCUUUUGCUUAUUUGAGUUGGAUGUGGGGGUUUUUUGCUGGCCUUUCUCAGGUCAGCUCCCCUGAAAUUCAUUAGCAGAACAAUUUGUUAACCGUUCAUUGGUGUGAUAACUAUCUACGCUAUUGACGGAAAGCAGUUCAGCUCCUAACAGUCCAUUGACUUGGACAAUCUUUCUAUUAAUGUGACCUCAAAUCAGGUAGGACUACCCGCUGAACUUAAGCAUAUCAAUAAGCGGAGGAAAAGAAACUAACAAGGAUUCCCCUAGUAACUGCGAGUGAAGCGGGAAAAGCUCAAAUUUAAAAUCUGGCAGUCUUUGGCUGUCCGAGUUGUAAUCUAGAGAAGUAUUAUCCGCGCUGGACC